CCUCUCCCCUCACUCCGCUGAAUACUCCGCCACCCAGCCCAGCCUCGCGAGGUGUGGAGAUGAGGCUUCUUCAUCAUCUUUAUUGGAUUCCUCCUCCAAACCAAAUCAUGGCAGGUGAAUGCCCUGCAGACAACACACCAACAGCCUGACUUUAUUUUUCUCAAGGUGUUUGUGGGAUGGCAGAAUCUUCGCAGAUAUCACAGAAGUGUCCAAAAAUCCACCUGCGACUCCCACCUACUCCUCCAACUGCUGACAAUCUGGUGCCAUGUCCAGUGUAUCUGGGCUGCUGUGAAUCCUUUACCAGUACAGUCUAUCCUACCAUAUGCUGGGAAACAAUGGUGAGCCACUUUACACAGAUGCCAUCUCUGAAGGUGAACACAUGCGGGUUCACUCAUCACAUGUAAACAUCCUCACUCCUUCACUCGGACAAACACACACACACACACACGCACACAUCUUGUUUUUGCCUUACAUUACAGGGACUGUCUUCCUCACACAAACAAACAUUCCUCUGCACACCAGCCCAACCGCCACCCCCUCCCCUCGCCUCCCCCCUCUGCUCGGCUCGAUAUGUGUGUUCGGUCUAAACUUUGCCUGGCUUUUGAUCUGAGCCGCGGAUGGUGCUCCUGCCUGCUGCCCUGCUCCAAACACCCACACAUGGGGUGUAAAGAGAAUUAUUCAUUGUUUUCACCACACAACAGAAGUGUUUGAGCUCAAAGAGCAGCUGCCUUCACAUAGUUAAUUUAACAUUGCUGGGGCUCCAAGCCGCACUGAUGAUUGAAGGUGUCCUGUUCAUUGCCAUUCUAUGACAGUGGUGCGCUUAUUAAAAAUAGAUGGCGAUGACAAUUAGCCAAAAGCACGUGAAUUCAGAUCAAAACGCAGCUGCGCCGUGUGGAUGCAUGCUAAAAAUGCAGCCAAACAAUCCACCCAGUCACCGGUUAAAUCAAAUAUGGAAACACAGGCUCUGUUAGUUUUUCCACUUUUUAUCAUGAAAUAUGUCCACUCUGAGAAAUACUACACAGCAGGAGGAUGCUGAUUCUGUUCAUCUUUUUUACCUUAUAUCAUAACAAUUAUUCUACAAGUCCAAUAAUUUCCUAAUUAUUUCCUAGAAAGGAGCCAAUUUGUAACUUCAGCAGCUACUACUAUUUAAGUCACAUUUCAGGCUAAAAUGGCAAAUAUUCACUGGUUAAAGCUUCUCAGAUGAGAGUAUUUCAUCCUUUUAUUUGUUUCAUAUCGCUGUAAGCUGAAUAUCUUUGGCUUUUGCACCGUUAGUUGGACAAAAAACUAAUAUAAAACUGGUAUUUCUACAUAAUUUGGCACUAAUCAAAAGAAAAUGGAGAUAGUGUUCGAUUGGCAGACUUUUGGGUAAUUCCUUUAUUUCUGUAGCUUUGCCUUUUUUACCAAGUCAACCAAACACGUAAAAAUUACUUAAAUUUGUUCAUUGAUUGAGCUGUUGUAUAUUGAUUGAUUUGUUUGUUAAUUUGUUUGUUUGUUCUUUGUUUACACUUGUAAGGUAUAGGCAAGCACACAGUUUAACAGGUAAAAAGAAUUAGUUUUUCAUAACAAAUAAAUGAAUAAUUGAAUAAUUUUAACUGGUUUUAGCAGGAAAGAAAUUUGUCUGGAGAAUAACCAUGGCUGAACAACUCUAACACCGUUUUCUUCUUUCAUUAUAUUUAAAAAAAAAAAACUUGAGUGGGUAGCUGCUGGAUGUACUGUCUCUAAACAAUGUCUCUGUUUUCACUAUAAUUAGCACCAAAUUACACAGCACUUUCCAGGAAACUUCAUUGGAAAUUGUUCUGAUAUAACAAGGCUCAUAAAAUAAAGCAUUACCAAAUACAACACACUCAUGUAUUUGCACAAAGUAAAAAAAUACAGAAGACUGUGCCUCUCUCCUCUGGGGUAAAGAGAACAGAAUAGCACUAAUUGAGACAGGACAGGCAGGAGCUGGUCCUAUUGCUCAUCACCGCAAUUCGCUGCUGAGGAGAGGCGAGGCAGCUGAGAGCCCGUGCCAGAUCUCCUCAUGCACCACUGAUUGCAACUACUUGGCCUGAUUUUAGCCUGGACUAGCC